AGCUGAAGUUGGCCCAUCCUAUACGUUACCGUAGUGUAAAUAUAUAAUCGUUCUGUAAUUAAAUUUCUUGGUGGAAAGUGAAAACGCUUCAAGGAUUCUCAACAGACAGACUUAGUCGCUUUAUUUCUGGAAGUUUGAGUGAUUGACCGACACGUGCACAGCAUGUCCGAAAAGAAGCCUCCCGUGGCCGCGAACAUGUCCGAACAGAAGUCUCCCGAAAGCAUGCCUGAAGGGAAGCCUGCCGCACAAAAACAUCCUGGUCGUCCUGCAUUCGUAUCAACCGUUGCCGAUGCCAGAGAAUCUGGACGGGAAGAAUUUUACGAAACAUCAAAGAACUUCAGGUAAAGACACUAAUGCGUUGCUGUUUACGCAAAACUCGCCGACGACAAGAAGCAGGAAUUGCUGGCGGAGCGUCUUGGUAAUCCUCCAGGUGGGGGGUUGCAGAACGUCGCUGAUCGGGAGCCAAGAGAAAGCAAGAAGCCACCGGCAGAUAAGUGAACUGCAGCCAUGAUUGGUCCGGCAUCAUUAUUAUGGAAUGUCAUAUCCGCUAGAAUUUUUUAUUUUUAUUGUAGUGGUUUCCUAAUGCUGUAGGCUCUGCAGUGUGCAGUUACGAGUACAUACUAUUUGCGUUCCGUGUGAAGUUUUUAAUACUCGUAUACGUAAUGGAGUGACUCCAGAUCACUUCUGUUUUAUUCAACAAUUUUUCGUUUUUACUAUUAGCCAAAAUACAGGUUAAACACGCUUUUUCGCUUA